rnacentral:other from 1 species
GUAAGAAUAGUGAAUCCAUUAAAAUAAGGAUUGAAAC